CUUAGGUAUCUAAGUGCGGCAAUUGGAAAAUGAAAACAUUAAUUUGACGCAUUUGGAGCUAUCUCCUGCGGGCACGGCUAACAGUUCUAAGCGUUUCUACUAAGUAUAACUGGAAUUCGGCGCAAUUAUUAUUAUUAUACCUGCAUUGUGCUAAUUACGAAUUCAGACACUUUAUGAACUCCUCGGUGCUUAUUAAAACGAUAAUUGCUUAGAUAAACAAUCAAACCAAAUGAAACGGAGCAAGCCGUACCACACCGAGAUAAUAAAAAAAGUACAUAUAUAAGUUGAAAGUCAGUUAUAUACAUACAUACAUAUCUACAUGUGAAGCGAUAUAAUCUAGUAUGUAAAUCAUGUUUGUCAUAUAUUUUAUAUGGCAAUUAACGGCAGUUGUUGGCACCAAACCAACCGUUUGUUGACACCAUCAACAGAUACUGUCAAACGAUCAUGUGAUGAACAAUUGCUCGAAAGUGGUAUGCUGUUGAUAAUUGUAAACAACCCCAACAUUAAAGUUUAAGUGCAACUCUAGAAAUUACGUACUUCUUAGAUCUUCGACUGCUCUUGACAGCUCCAUCACUUGAGAGUUAUCAUUAGCGCAGCUUUCAAGGGGACAUCAACAUUUGUGCUCUUCGCAUCGCUGAAAACUUCGCAUCGAUCCAAAGGGAGCAAACUACUAGAAUUUACAAGAAAUGUUAGUAUUGGUAAUUGAAUAAAAAGGUAUUUCGUGUUUUAAUGAAACACCAAUUUUUGACGAUAAAAAUUCUGGUGAUACCAAAAUCAAGCCAUGAGUUUUAUUUCAUCUCUGCGCCAGGCGAAGCGACCAUUCGUACCAUAAGUGGCUUGCUAAAUUCCAUAAAGACCGUAUGAGCAUUGAAGUGGAUGAAGGCAGUGGGCGUCCUAAAGUGGACGAAAAUAUAAAAAUUUCCAAAAUUAUCUUGGAUGACCAUAAAAUAAGAUUUAUCGGAAUAGCCGAAACUUUAAAGAUAUCAAAGGAAUAGCUUGGACUAAUCGUGCAUGAUAAUUUGCAUAUUCGAAAUCUCUGUGCAAAGUAAGGGCAGCGUGAACUCAUAAAUUACCUCAGUGUCACAUAUCAAUGAAAAAGGGGUCCACCAUAUUUUGAAGCGAAUAAAAAAUGUAUUGUAUGGUAUCUAACAGUUGGAUGCUCGGUAUAGUUGAAUUGGGUAUAUUAAGUAUGCCACGACCUAUUGUGACUUAUAAAAUACGACGAGGUGAGUCGUCUGUAGGUAUAUACGCGAACUAGUCUCUCAGUUUUUGAGAUAUCGAUCUGAAAUUGUUCUCACCUUUUUUUCCCUCCAAGAAGCUGCUCAUACGUCGAAACUGUUGAUAUCGGACUUUAGCAUAUUGCUGCCUUACAAACUGAACGAUCGAAAAAAUCAAGUUCUUGUAAGAAAAUUUAAACAUGUGAAGAGUAGCUUCGGUUGCGAAGCUAGAAAAUAAAAAAUAGUUAAAAUAUGGCCUUAAAUUUCAUUUUAAAUUUUAAAUAUAAUUCAUUGACCAACAAGAUUCAAAUUUUUGUGCCUUUCAUAUUGUUGCCGAGUGUAUAUACUAUCUUUAAUAAUAUUAUCGUAUUCCGAAGGUAUUUCCAUAACAAUUUUCCACUCGACACUAAUGUUUUUUUAUAGAAAAUUAAUAAGAAAAUCCAAUUUGAUGUCUGGAUGACAGCGUGCCCCAUUAAUUUAACAUUAUAUAUAAUUUAUAAAUUUUGUACAUACAUAUAUAAUAAUAAAAAAUAUAUACUCCAAUUUUCUGGAGAGAUAACUGCCAUUUUAAU